rnacentral:rRNA from 1 species
CGGUAAUUCCAGCUCCAAUAGUGCACAUUAAAGUUGCUGCGAUUAAAAAGCACGUAGCCGGAUUUUGGGGUGCCUGUAUCGACCCCACUCAGUAGAGUGGUGUGUUGAACACGGGUGUCCUUUCGCUUGGGUGUAACCUUCGGGUUUCGCUCGGGCAUAUUACCAUGAGGAAAUUGGGGUGCUCAAGGCAUGCGUCUUGCAGUUGAACAGCACAGCAUGGGAUAAUUUUACAUGACGAGUUUCCAUUCUAUUGGUUUCUGGGAACUCGUAAUGAUUAAUGGGGGCGGUUGAGGUCCUUCGUACUCAAGUGUUAGCAGUGGAAUGCUCAGACCACUUGAAGACGAACAAAGGCGAGAGCAAUGGACUUACAUGUUCUCGCCGGUCAAGUACGAUAGCAUGAGGAGAGAAGGCGAUUAGUUACCGCCGUAUUUCAUGCCGUAAACGAUGCCACCUGGGGAUUGGGAAUCCAAGAAGCUUCUCAGGACCCUCCGAGAAAUCAAAGUCAUCAGGCUUCGGGGGAAUUACGCUCGCAAGAGUGAAACUUAAAGGAAUUGACGGAAGGCUGCCUCAAGCUGUGGAGUCUGCGGCUUAAUUUGACUCAACGCGGGGAACCUCACUAGGGCCAGACACAGCAAGGAUUGACAGGUUAAGUGGGCCUUUCAUGAUUCUGUGGAUGGUGGUGCAUGGCCGCUGAAAGUGAGUGAUGUGAGUUGUCUGCUUUAUUGCGAUAACUAACGAGACCUCCGCUGUUAAAUAGUCAGCUUUAGAUUUUUUCUAGAGUAUGGCUUCUUAACGGGACUACUAGUGAUACAGGGGAAGCGGGAGGCUAUAGCAGGUCAGUGAUGCCCUUUUAUGUCUUUGGGCCGCACGCGGACUACACUGGCAACUUCAACGAGUCAACCUGUGCCGAGAGGUAUGGGUAACCUUGUGAAAAGUUGUCGUGACUGGGAUUGGCGAUUGCAAUUGUUCGCCAUGAACGAGGAAUAGUUAGUAAUCGUGUGUCAUAAACGCACGAUGACUAAGACCCCAGCCUUUGUACACACCGCCCGUCGCUCCUACCGAUUGGAUGAUCCGCCGAGUUUUUCGGAUUGUGGCUAUGGUUCCCUUGUGGAGUUCAGCGCUGCGAGAAGUUAUGCAAGGCUAAUUAUCUAGAGGAAGGAGAAGUCGUAACAAGG